rnacentral:rRNA from 1 species
GUUUGACCUCGGGUCAGGUAGGAAUACCCGCUGAACUUAAGCAUA